GAGGCGGAUCUCGCGCCGCCCGGAUCCUGGUGCGGUCGUGCCGUUGCGGGGCGCAGCCGGUAGCGCGGAGCUCCGGGGCCUGGAGCGAUGUCGGGUGGCUGAGAUUGGAGCCGCGGAGUUGCUGUGUCGGUGCUCUGGUGUUUGCCGGUUGCGGUUCUGGUGCUCGGUGAGGGGUCAGGGAGGGACGCGGAGGGGGCGGUGUGGUCGGUGAAGCCGUGCUGCGUGCAGCCCCGGGGCUUGGAGCCGCGUGGGGUCAUUGAGUGGCGCUGUGCGAGGGGGCUGCGGCCGUAAUGUUCGGUUGGGAGCCCAGUAGGUAGCAGCUCUAUAAACUGAGUGCUCGGCUGGCCCUAAUGCCCAGCUGCGUGCGUGCUUCUCCUAGCCCGAGUGCCCAGAGCCCCAGCGGCUGUUAGUUCUGAGCAGCCUACCGGCUGCAGCCCCUGCUGCCCGCUCCUCGCAGCCUGCUGGCCCAGAGGUGGUUCGGCUGAGGCCCGGUGUUUGCAGCCCCGAUACCAAAUCCAGAUCGCAGAGCCUGACCGCAGAACCCCACCGCUGCUGCACCAUGCCGUGCCGCCGUGAGAUGCUGGCCCUGGUGGCCGUGCUGGGCUGGCUGCUGGUGCUGCUGCUGGACCUGCAGGUGCUGGCGCUGCUGUGUGGGACCGCAGCAGUGCUGGGUGGGUGGCUGGGACCCCGAGCUCUGAGCAGGCCAGGCUGGAGGCUGCGCUUAGAGCGCUUUGCUGGAUCCCUGCGGCCGACGGCACACAGCCCUGAGGCAGAGGAGCGGCUGGAGCAGGAAAUCAGCAGCACCGUCAGGAAAGUGGUGAGGGACUUCGUCUCCUCCUGGUAUCGCACUGUCAGCAGUGAGCGCGCCUUUGAGGCUGAGGUGGAGAAGGCCAUGAUGGGGCUGGCAGCUGAGCUGAGGCGGCGGAUGGCACGGGUUGACCGCCAGGCUCUGGCCCGCCGGCUGCUCCUGCUGUGCGGCCGUCACCUGCAGAGCUACCUGCAGGCCCUACGGGGCCAUGGGCUGCUGUGGGAGGAGUACCGCCGGGUCGCGGGCCUGCAUCCAGCCCUCUGCAGCCCAGCGGCUGAGGCGAGCUAUGCCCGUGCCUCUGUGGAGCUGCUGCUGCAGGCUUUGGUGCCUCGGCCCCACCUGGAGACGCGGACGGGUCGCUUUGUGGUGGUGGAGCUGGUGGCCUGUAACGUGCUGCUGCCCGCCAUCAGGAAGAUGGCUGACCCCGACUGGAUCAACCUGCUGCUGGUUGGGGCCUUCCCCAGGAAGGCACAGGGUGAGGAGCCCAGCCCUGCAGUUCCAGUGCCAGACUCUCUGCCUCUCACAGUUCAGCUGGGUGCUGCCCCAGCAGUACCGCUUCUAUCCCCAUCACCUGGGCGAGAAGCAGGGGCUGGUGGCGAGGAUGGUGUGGAUGUGCCGUGUGAGCCACCCUGUAGUGACGGGGUUGUCUUGAGGCCACGAGGCCUGGGCUUGCUGUUCCCUUAUGAGGGUUUGGAGCUGGAUUCUCCAGGCCAGGAUGUGGAGCUGCUGGCACCAUCACCUGCUGGGGAGUUUCUUGAUGAGCAUCUCCCUGAUGUUCCCGCUCUGUUGGAGGGAGCAGACACUUCAGAGGAUGGGAUGGGGGAUCUGGAGGAUGGCCACACCACCAGUAGUGAUGCUGGACUGCUACUCCCAUCUGCUUAUGUUCUGGGCUCCUGCCCUGACAUCCAGAUUGAUCCAGUGAUGGAGACAGAGGAGGAUAGUCCCAAGAAGUGCUCUGUGCAACGGCCCUGCAGCUUGGGGAGAGAAUUGGGAACACCAGAGGCCCUGCCACAAAGCCCAUCAGACCCUGUUCAGCCCCUUCCCCUGCUCUCAUCCUCCCCGACUGCUCCCAUUGGCACCUUCAGCUUUGAGCCCCUCAGCAGCCCCGAUGGACCAGUGGUCAUCCAGAACCUGCGCAUAACCGGCACCAUCACUGCCCGUGAGCACAGCGGGACUGGCUUCCACCCCUACACCUUGUACACCAUCAAGUAUGAGACAGCCCUGGAGGGUGAGGUUGCAGGCAGCCUUCAGCAGAUGGCCUACCACACUGUGAACCGCCGCUACCGGGAGUUCCUCAACCUGCAGACCAGGCUGGAGGAGAAACCGGAGCUCCGCAAGUUCCUGAAAAAUAUCAAAGGACCAAAGAAACUGUUCCCUGAUCUCCCAUUUGGAAAUAUGGACAGCGAUAAAGUGGAAGCCAGAAAAAGUCUGCUGGAAUCUUUCUUGAAGCAAUUGUGUGCAGUCCCUGAGAUUGCAAACAGUGAGGAGGUGCAGGAGUUCCUUGCUCUGAACACCGACGCCAGGAUUGCGUUUGUCAAGAAGCCCUUUGUUGUCUCCAGGAUAGACAAGAUAGUUGUAAAUGCCAUUGUGGACACCCUGAAGACAGCAUUCCCCAGGUCAGAGCCCCAGAGCCCCACAGAGGAUCUGAGUGAGUCUGAAGUGGAUGGGAAAUAUCAGCCAGAUGGGAAGAAGGCAAACAAGUCCAGGCUGAGGUUCCCAUCCAGCAGAAUCACUCCAGUGAUGAGUGUGAGUGAAGCACAUGACAGGAUUGUGUACUCUGUGAGGGAGGGCAGUGCUGUCUCUGGCACGCUGUCGCUGGCUGCUAUGGAGUCCUUCAUCCAGAAGCAGGAGAAGCUGCUGGCAGCAGUCCCCAGCAAAGCUCCUGAGGGCGAGGGGAGCGAAGAAGCCAAGGAAAAAUCUGUGCAGGAGGAUACAGAUGGGCUGAACACGUUGGAGCAGGGAGCACAUCUGGACACGGACACGGACUCUGAGACUGCUUUGGCUGACCUGGCCCUGGACUUGCUGCGUUUACUGCUGAUGGAUCACUGGAGCUGGCUGUGCAUAGAGAAUAUCCAGAAGGUCUUCCACCUGCUCUUUGGGACCCUCAUUCAAAGGUGGCUGGAAGUCCAGGUGGUCAACCUGACCUGCACCCAGCGCUGGGUGCAGUACCUCCAGCUGCUGCAGGAGUCCAUCUGGCCUGGAGGAGUUCUGCCAGAAGUGCCCAAACCAGCCAGGACAGAGGAACAGAAGAAAGCAGCUGCAGAGCAGGCCCUGCAGAGCCUGAUGGGGAUCUUGCCUAAUGUGGUCCAAGAAAUCCUUGGAACCGAUAAAUGUCGCAUGAGCUGGAGCCUGGUGCUGGAGUCCUUGGGCCAUCCUGUUAUAAACAGGUUCCUUCUGUAGCGGCCAGAUCAUCUUGAGCAUCAGGCAGCAGUGCUGGCUGGAUCUCGGAUGCUGUUUGCUUGGGUAAGGCUCACUGACUUCUGCUGCUCAGGAAAUACCCCCAAACCCACCUGUGGACGCUCACCCCAACCCUCACCCUCCCACCCCAAGGCUCUGGGUUGAUGCUUGCACAUUCCUGCACGAGGACCACCAGCAGUAGAGGGAUUUGCUGCAGGCUGUGGCAGGUUGCCCUGAGAUGCUCUGAGGAAUCGAACUCUUUCACUGCUCAGGCUUUGGGUGAGUGUUUCACAGCCCUCAGAUAUUGCCAAGCAGAGCGAAGGGGAUGCAACACAGGGCAUCCCAUCCAGCACAGCAGCACCCCUGGGCAUCCUGUCCCUCCUGGAGGUACCACCAUCCCUACAGUACCACCAUCCCCAGGGUACCACCAUCCUCAGGAUGCCACCAGCAUCCCUGGCCGGCAGCACGGCAUGGGCAGCAGGUGCAGGGAUGGAGGCAGGAAACUGUUUAUAGAGCUUAGGAAAAGCUGAGGUUUCUGGCAGGUUCCUGAGACGCUGGGUUUGGCCCAGGGCUCCGCUGUAUAAAUUGUGGGAUUAGAGUCAAACAUGAAACCGGAGCAAGAGGCCAAAGGCAGAGCUGGCAGCUGGCUGGAAGGACUUUUUUCUCUGCGCAUGUCCAAGGGAUGCUUUUGGAGGAGAGAAGGGUAAGAAAGAAAGGGGAGCCAGCAAAACAGGGGUGAAAAUGACCCCAAAAAUAAGAAGGAUGCAACAAGAAGGCAGUGGUGAAGUGAAUGCAGAGGCUUCUUGGUGGGAAGCAUCUGCAUAGAAAGGUUGCAGAGGGGAUGGGAAAAGUCACCAUCUCCCAGUGUCACACCGGGUGCUCCCUGACCUGGCACCAGUCCUCGCUGACACCCAGCACUGCCCUGCUCAUGGUGCUGUGAUUUUAUCCCUGGUUCUGCUCGAGGUGCUGUUUCUGAGUUCACAGCCGUGCACUGGGCUGACCUCCCGCUCCCCGCGCUGUUUGGUUUGGAUUAGCUGACUCACGGCUGUUUGGUGGGGCCAAGGCAAAAACACAUCCAUCCAUGCAGGGCACAGAGGGAGAUCUUCUCUACAAAGCACUGAUGCGAUGUGAGGUUGGCAGGAGAGCAAUGUUUUCCCGAGAGCCUUAGCAAAACCUGUGAUUUUUCAUAGAAAGUUCCCUACUUGCUGUAGGUAUCUCCCAGCACCAAGGGAUGCACAGAUUUCCAACAUCAGCAAUGUUAUCUCUGUCCUCCCAGCUUUGUUUUCCCUAAGCAGCCGCACAGACGUGCCUGGGAUGGAAGUCAGACAUGGUCUGAAUAGACACGAGGAAUUCAAGCUGAGAAAGUCAGACCCUGUGCACAAAGCAGGAAUUGGAAAGCAGAGCCACUCAGUCCCUGUGUUGCCUUCUUGCUGCCAUGGGCAUCUUCUAAAGACCCCAUCCUUUCACCAGAUGGUCCUUCGGCCCAUCAGGAGACACAUGACCCUCCAAGAUGGGUGUCAGCUCCCUAUUUCUUCUUCUCCUGGCUGUUGGAAAGGCAUCCCUGUGUGCUCAUCACUUUCUCCAUUUACAAGUUCUUUCUCUAAACUCCCCAGCCAGGAUCUGGCUCUGUCUCCUCCAUCAUCAGCACUGCCCAUCCAUCUGCAAGGGGCUGGAAGCAUCGGGGUAAGCUGGGAGGCUCAGAUGUGAAUGCAGCCCCAGGUUGCUCAACUUUCUUCUCUUUCCCAAGUUUCUUCUCAGUCCCAGGUUUGGUCUCAGCUCAAGGCAGAAAGAAGGGUGAAGCAGCAAGAUUUGGAUCAGACCCAAUGUUAGGCACGGAGUUGUUCCCAGUAACAUUCCUUCCUGCAAACCAGAGUGCCGGUUCAAAGCAGAUGGGUUGGUAGCACUCCCAAAUUCCUCGUUGUGCUGGAAUUUAUGCAAAAUGUAUAGAAUUAAUGAGCGCAGGGGAAAGGCACUUGGACCGUCCUCACGUUCCUGACCUCUGUGCCACCGCUCCACUCUGCUGUAUGUCACCCAGUGCUCUCCCCAGACAAUGUCCCAUUGAUUGCCCAAGGGGAUCAUGGCACUGGGGGGGCCGUGCUGAUGCUCUGCAGCGUGGCUGGGCACUGCUGGGCUGUUGGGAACACAUUGCACAAUGCCCAGCCUGUGUCUGUUGGUGCAUCACCAACACAGUGUCACAGGGGGCAACACAAGGGUCUCAUGGUGCAGGGGCACAGACAUGCCUUUCUCGGGACGAUGAGAGUCAUUGAUUUAUUCCCUUUUCACACUGGAAACAGAAUGCCCUUUAAAAAGAAAGCUUGAGCAGCGCUGCCCCCCUCUCACCCUGCUGCAAACCCUGAGCUCACCGUGGGUGAUGUGACCCAUCUGGAGGAGAACCCAGCCCCUUGCUCACAGAGCAUCCAUCAGAACCUCUUCCCAUGGGCAGUGUCCCUAGAUUCCUAUUUUUCAGCUGAGUCUGGGGGGAAGAAGAGCUCAGUCAAGAAACUCCUGGCCCAGCUGCAGUUUGCAGUGCAGGGCAGGAACCCAGGCGUUGCUGAGCAAGGUACCAGCAUGGCCAUGGGAUGCGUGGCAGCUCUGAGGGCUGGGAUCCCCGUCCCUAUUCUGUCCCCAGGGCCAUGCAGGGGCUUUGCUCAUCCCAGCUGCCCUGUGCCACGCAGGGAUGCUGCUUGAUUGUGUUUUACUUAACCUUUAAUACCAUGUUAUUUCUAUUUAAGCCUCAUUCCAAAACAGAGCCUACAAGUGAUAACAGAGCAAACAGACCUUCUGUCCCCUCUCCCUCCCCGAGGAAAUAUUUUUAGCUCUCGUAAACACAAACCAUUUAAGCACUUGAGAGCAUCCCAAGGGAUGCAGCCUUCCUCUCCAUCCUUUGCAGCCUACAGCACAACCCCAAAUCACACCCUGAUUUCUGGGCUCAGGCACCAUUGCAGGCACAGCUCUGCAAAGCAGGCAAUAAACUGGGAGUUACUUUCAAAGGAAACCCAAAGGAAGAAGCUGUUCAGAGCUCAGCUGGCUUUCCCACAAUGUCUCAUGGCUCUGAAAAAAUCUCGUCCCUGUUGCUCCUGCUCCCAAAUGCAGUGCAGGAGAUGCUGAGCUGAGGUGACUGGUGAGCACCAAAAUGCAUCUCUCCAACAUCUGCUUCCAGCUUUGGUCACAGAAUCACUGCACUUCUCACCAAGUGUUCCUAAAAAUUCAUGGAAAAUUCAUCCAUAGAGUGUGCUGAGCACAAGAUGUCCCCAGGAAUAGGGACAGCCAAGAAAAGGUUGGAGGAAGCCACCAGUGCUGGGAAAGGAAACUGGGAAAUGCUUUGAUGAGAGCACAUAUGGUGCGUGCUUGGAUGCAGCAGUCCGCCAAAGAAGCUGGGGACUGGGACAUGGUUUGGGACAGAAAGAGACUGUGGGACCUGGGGUGGCUUUGCAGAGCUUGGCUGGCUGGGGAGCUGCAGCCUGGGGAAGGGGCUCAGUGGCACUCGGAUGGAGCGAGAUCAGAGCUGGGCUCACAUCCAAGGUUCAGGGCAGGGCACAACUGCAAAUUUCCCAAGCUACCCAAGCUCCUGGGCCUGCAGCUCUGCAGCCUCCUGGGAUCAGAUUCCCAUAAUGGAUUCCCAGCUGCAAAGAUAGAAAGCAUCCCAAAAGGGGCAAAGUACCAUCUGCUGAGCAGCCUCGUUCUCAGGCUAUUUGGGGUAUUUUUAUUUCUGAAGAAAGCAGAGAGCCAGGAGGAAUUUCACCCUGAUUCCAAACUCCUGUUUUCCUUCUCCCUUCCCCUGCAGUGAUGCAACCCCAUCCAACAGUAGCAGCUCUUCCCUCCAUCCUGUCCCCUCUUGCUGUGAAAGCAUCCCAUUGCCAUCACGUGCAAAAGGGCACAAACCUGAGCUCUGCUUUCUCCCUCCGUUAGGCAUGUCUAGAAGUGAUUUUCCCAGUUCAACCCAGUAAGUGACUUACGGCAUCCAUGGGACGUGCCAGGUGGUCCCUUUGGUCUGUGGAUGCAUUUGGUUUUGGUCAGGGCCACAGGAGCCAUCUGAGUGCUUCCUCUGAGCGUGCCAUGAGUAGCCCCAAUGCUGAACUAAUGUUAUCUUAGCAAAUGGCUUUGUUAUGGCUGGGGGAUUCCUUGAGGGGCAGUUUUUAAUCUCGCAAGGCAGCAAUCCUGAUGCAGGGGGAAGUCUUUCACUAUCGGCUCUGAGUGGCUCUCAGGUGGGAGAUUAGGGGAAAGGCACACGAAUCCCAUUCCCAAAGAAGGAAAACGUGGAGUCUCUUUGCUGAGGUGUGGGAAUGCCUGGGGGAUGCUCAGUGCAGCUCCAACCACAUGAAUGCCAUCACAUCCACAGCAGCACCACCUCUCCUUUACUCUUUUUGUUCAUCCCCACGCAGCCCAACCCAGUGUGCCCAUUGCCCACAUCCCUCAGUGCCACAUCCCCACAGCUCUGCAACACCCCCAGGAAUGGUGACCCCCCCACACCCCUGGGCAGCUGUGUGAUGCAGCACUGCUCUCCUCCCCAGAAACUGAAACUGGUCCUUGGAAAGAAGCAGAGAAGCAGAAGAAGGGCUGAAUCCUGAGGAUGCAAAGUGCUUUGCGUAUCCCCUGCAGCCAACCAGCCUCUGCUACAGCAAAGCAAUGGAAUUUCUUGCAAACGUCCUGAUCUAUCUGAUAUUUUCCUGACCUAUCCCCAAAAAGCCAGUCCUAAUGUCUAGAACAAGGAGGACACGGCUGCGCCUGCAUCUCCUAACCUACUGGCAUCCAUUGGCUGCAUCCAUCCGUCUCCCUGCGCUUUAUCAACAUCUCCAGCCUCUGUGCCACGAGGGGAAUGUCAUCGGGUUUUUAUCUCCUUUCUGCUCUGGGCUUAUCAGUGAUUUGUUUAAUUCGAGUUUAUGGCUUCCCUUGUUCAUUUUGUCACUGGGUUUCCUCAAUCCCGAUGGCUGCCGAAAGGAGACAAUGAAAUUUUAAAUAAAUAAAUAAAUGAAGGCAAAUAAUUAUCAUUU